ACUUGUUUGGCAGAUUAGUGUAUUAAAUUUAAGCAUUAAAAAAGUUUUAUAACAGCAAGGG
rnacentral:tRNA from 1 species